rnacentral:rRNA from 1 species
UACGUAGGGGGCAAGCGUUGUCCGGAAUCAUUGGGCGUAAAGCGCGUGUAGGCGGCCAGAUAAGUCCGCUGUGAAAUCUCGAGGCUCAACUUCGAGCUGUCGGUGGAAACUGUCUGGCUAGAGUCCGGAAGAGGAGAAUGGAAUUCCUGGUGUAGCGGUGAAAUGCGCAGAUAUCAGGAAGAACACCAAUGGCGAAGGCAGCUCUCUGGGACGGUACUGACGCUGAGACGCGAAAGCGUGGGGAGCGAACAGG